rnacentral:lncRNA from 1 species
CAAGAAACAAAAGGAGGAUCGGUUAGGACCACAAUGGGAAAGUAUGGAAGGUUCUAUUGAGAUACAGAUAGGUGUGUACAUAUGCACACACACACACACACACACUUACAGGCAGUUGAAUUCACACUUCCUUGAGCUAAUUCACUUUCUUCCUUGAAGAAAACUUCCAGGGGUCAGUUUUCUUCCAUGUGGGAAACUCACUUAGAGGAGGGUGAAUGGCAGCUGUAUUUUUGAGAGGAUCUGCUUAAGUUUCGGUGUUUCUGUGGCUGCUAACUGUUCAGAGGUUUCCAGUUUAAAGUAAUUUUCAUACCACAUCAGUGCAUUGUCAAUCCUUUCAGUUUGAUAAACGACUGGCUGGGCCUCAGCCUCUGCCAAAUAUCAUGUCUCCCCGACAACACAGAACACACUCAACCCUUAACUGAAAAGGACAUCCUAAAAUGCUACCCAGUUAUUGCAUUCGGGAACAAAGCGCUUUUGUGCACAACCUUGUUGAAGAUCUGGUCUCCUCCUGGCCAACAGUGUCCCUCCAUGACUGACCAGGAUAUUCUGUCAACAGAUAGCAUCCAAUCCCUGUUCAUUGCACUUUUGAUCCUGCCUUUGGAAACACAUCCAAUCCAGAACUGUGGCAAUCCUUGGAACUCUCAGCGGGAGCUACAACCUUCCAAAAAUGCUGCCUUCCGCCCCCUUGUGGAGGAGCAUUCUCGGUUCCUCUGGGCUGUGUCUCUCCAUUCUCCAAACCUGCCUGGCUGUGGAGAUCAAUAAUCUGAAUAUCAUCUUCAGUUAAUCAGGCUUUAACAACAUAGUACAGCCUUCUGGAGCACAAUCUUGAUUGAUUUUUUUUUUAAGGUGAUGGCUUCCUGCAGCAAACCCUCACAGAUUUCUGAAUGACUACUGAACUUGUGAAAAGGCACUCAACUAAUUAAAAUCAUAAUGUGAUACACCCACAUACUCACCACAAUGGCUACAAUUUGAAAGACUGGCAAAUUAAAGUAUUGGUACAUGUGUGGAGUCAUGGGAAAGAGAGAAUAAAACGAAAUAACCACUCA